GCAAGUCGAACGAGACCUUCGGGUCUAGUGGCGCACGGGUGCGUAACGCGUGGGAAUCUGCCCUUAGGUACGGAAUAACUCAGAGAAAUUUGUGCUAAUACCGUAUGAUGUCGAAAGACCAAAGAUUUAUCGCCUAAGGAUGAGCCCGCGUAAGAUUAGCUUGUUGGUGAGGUAAAAGCUCACCAAGGCGACGAUCUUUAGCUGGUCUGAGAGGAUGAUCAGCCACACUGGGACUGAGACACGGCCCAGACUCCUACGGGAGGCAGCAGUGGGGAAUAUUGGACAAUGGGCGAAAGCCUGAUCCAGCAAUGCCGCGUGAGUGAUGAAGGCCUUAGGGUUGUAAAGCUCUUUUACCAGGGAUGAUAAUGACAGUACCUGGAGAAUAAGCUCCGGCUAACUCCGUGCCAGCAGCCGCGGUAAUACGGAGGGAGCUAGCGUUGUCCGGAAUUAUUGGGCGUAAAGAGCUCGUAGGUGGUUUGUUACGUCGGUUGUGAAAUUCAGGGGCUCAACCCCUGACUUGCAGCCGAUACGGGCAAGCUAGAGUUUGGUAGGGGAGACUGGAAUUCCUGGUGUAGCGGUGGAAUGCGCAGAUAUCAGGAGGAACACCGAUGGCGAAGGCAGGUCUCUGGGCCAAUACUGACACUGAGGAGCGAAAGCGUGGGGAGCGAACAGGAUUAGAUACCCUGGUAGUCCACGCCGUAAACGGUGGGCGCUAGUUGUGCGAACCUUCCACGGUUUGUGCGACGCAGCUAACGCAUUAAGCGCCCCGCCUGGGGAGUACGAUCGCAAGAUUAAAACUCAAAGGAAUUGACGGGGCCCCGCACAAGCAGCGGAGCAUGCGGCUUAAUUCGACGCAACGCGAAGAACCUUACCAAGGCUUGACAUAUACAGGAAUAUGGCAGAGAUGUCAUAGCCCGCAGGUCUGUAUACAGGUGGUGCAUGGUUGUCGUCAGCUCGUGUCGUGAGAU
rnacentral:rRNA from 1 species